rnacentral:tRNA from 10 species
GGCCCAGUGGCGCAGUUGGUUAGCGUGCCGCCCUGUCACGGCGGAGGUCGCGGGUUCGAGUCCCGUCUGGGUCGCCA